AUCUCAGUCCCUGGUCCUUCCUAGCCGUCCAUUCCCUCCCCAUCCAACGCCUUAGAUUGCUCCUCCAAGAUCUUCCCAAAUCCUUCCCCCCCUCCUCUCCCAGCUUCUGCUUCUGCUUCUGCUGCAAGAACAAUCUCCAUUUUCCAUGCCAGAAUAAGAUUGGCUUUCCCCAGUUUCUUCCGAACAUGCCGGUCUCGACCCGAUCGCAGGUCUCGGCCGAUCGCAACGACCGGCCGCCUCCGCCGUCCUCGCUGGGCCAAGAAGCUUCCUCGAACCCGGUCCACGCCACGGCGAUUCUCCGGAACCCUCACCAUGGCCUCAAGGAGAAGAUGCGGGCCCUCACCCUCUUCUACGAGCAGCAUAAGCAGCACUUGGCCUCGUCCCACGACCCCUCGAAGCGGCCCGAUGCUCUGGCUCCCGCCGCCCACCGCCCGAUCGUCGAGCUCACCGAAUCCAACCGCAAGAAGAAUGAAGAGAAUUCCCAAGUAGAAGAAGAAGAAGAAGAAGAAGAAGAAGAAGAAGAAGAAGCGGAAGCUCUAGAUUUGCCGAUGAAGGAGAACAUCAUCGUGUUGCCGAGCCCGUCGAAGGCGGCGGCGAGGACGAAUCAUCACGUGGUUUUCCCGAGAGGCGGCGCCGCCAAGGAGAACCCCCGCAUCGCCGUGUACUCUUGCCCCAAGAAGCCGCCGCCGCCGCCGCCGCCGACUACGGUCGCUCGGAAGCUCUCCAUGGGGGGUUUGGGCACGCAAUCGGAGGGCAGGGUCACUCGGACCAAGAAUGCUACUGCCACCGCCGCUACUGCUAAUGCGGCGAUGGAGAAUGGGGAGAUUGGGGGAGGGAGUAGUAGGAUUAUGGUGUAUGUGAGAUUGCGGCCGAUGUCGAAGAAGGAGAAGGAUGGGGGGUCGAGGAGCUGCGUAAGGAUCGUGAACAAGAAAGACGUGUACUUGACGGAGUUCGCGUCGGAGACCGACUACCUCCGCCUCAAGAGGGUCCGCGGCCGCCACUUCUCCUUCGACGCCUCGUUCCCCGAUUCGACCACGCAACAAGAAGUCUACGCCACCACAACAGCGGAUCUCGUUGAGGGUGUUCUUCAAGGAAGAAAUGGGUCGGUUUUCUGCUACGGGGCGACGGGAGCGGGGAAAACGUACACAAUGCUGGGGACGAUGGAGAACCCCGGAGUAAUGGUGCUGGCCAUAAAGGACCUGUUCUUUAAGAUUAGGCAGAGGAGUUACGACGGCAACCACUCUGUUCAACUUUCUUAUCUAGAGGUCUACAAUGAGACUGUAAGAGAUCUGUUGUCCCCUGGAAGACCUCUUGUCCUCCGAGAAGACAAACAGGGAAUUGUCGCUGCGGGGCUCACCCAGUACAGAGCUUACUCAACAGAUGAAGUGAUGAAAUUGCUUCAACAAGGUAAUCAGAACAGAACAACUGAACCAACUCGAGUGAAUGAGACCUCUUCCCGCUCUCAUGCAAUACUGCAGGUUGUUGCAGAAUAUAAAGUCAGACAAUCAGGCAACGUUGUUACCCGAGCGGGAAAACUCUCGCUAAUUGAUCUUGCUGGCUCAGAGAGAGCCCUAGCAACUGAUCAAAGAACUCAGAGAUCCCUUGAAGGAGCGAAUAUUAAUCGCUCCCUUCUUGCACUCAGCAGCUGUAUCAAUGCUCUUGUGGAGGGAAAGAAGCACAUACCUUAUCGGAAUUCAAAGCUGACCCAACUUUUGAAGGAUUCACUUGGAGGGCCAUGUAAUACCGUCAUGAUUGCUAAUAUUAGUCCCUGCAGUCUCUCAUUUGGUGAGACACAGAACACUCUCCACUGGGCUGAUCGUGCCAAGGAGAUACGAACUAAGGCAUGUGGGGCAAAUGAGGAGGCAAUUAAAAUGCCGGAAUCGGAGACUGAUCAGGCUAAACUAGUAUUAGAGUUGCAGAAGGAGAACAGCGAGCUGAGACAGCAGUUAGUGCGGAACCAACAAAAGCUACUAACAGUUCAAGCACAAUCACUGGCUGCAAACUCCUCGCCAGCACCCCCUGCUGCCCCCUCACCUCUUCUCUCUCCUCCAUGUUCGAUCCAACGAAAACCAAAGUGCAAUAUCUUAGCUGGAAAUUGCUUCCACACCCCCGAAUCCAGGAGAAAGCCCGCCAACAACGAUGCAUUUGUUUGCGAGCUUCAAAAGAAAGUUAAAGCUUUGGAGACUGAGAUAGAGAAGAUGAAGAAGGAACACAUACUACAGCUUAAGCAGAAGGAUGAGUUCAUUCGCGAGUUGAUCAAUAAGAAGAGUUUAAAGCCUAAGGAAGGAGGGGAAAGAAUUAUCACAAGGGCGAGCUUGCGAAAGGGCGAGAGAGAUGAAAUGGCAAAAGGAGAGCUCAAGAGUCCUGGCCACCGAUUUCUUUCUCCUGUUCCAACUGUGAAGAAGCGCAGCUUCUGGGAUAUCACAACUGGUAAUAGCCCCUCAGCUCUGGCGAUCAAUGGGAGGAAGACUCGAAGCCAUGUUACUGCAGAGACUCCGCGGGCUCCAUCAAUGCUACUUCAGGUAAUAUUUUUUCUUCCUCCUUUUAAAUUCUGAAGUUUGGGUGGCCAUCUAUAAAAAGCAUGAUAGUUCAAGGGGUUUAUGGUGCAUUGAUUGCGGUAUUAAAAUUGUUAUGCAAACUGGAGUUUGUGGAGGCUCUAAAUGAUGCUUUAGCCGAUCCCCCUUACCUAAAUCUUUUUAGUAGUAUCCGGGAUUCGCUCGUCAGAGAGCUGAAGCAUCGAAGUAGUGAGACCAGCUAGGAAAGGAUGCAGAGAAGAAGUGAAUCCCAUCUUCUUUUUUUUUUCUUCUUUUCCUAUAUCAUUUUAAUGUGUGUUACAUUUUUCACCUUUUUAUAAACUCAGUUUGAUAAAACAAACUGAACCUUGUAGCUUAUUGUUCUUCGCCUUUUACUGUAAUUUAUCCAAAUUCUUCAGAAUUUAGUGUAUUCAUUUGAUUGGGGAACGAACCCAAGAAUCACUUACUUGGCAUUCUUUCUGAAAGUUUAUCG